GGAACUUGGGAUUCCAACGGCAGGCGGGAAGCGCUCUAGCUGGCGGCUCUGGCCUUGUGAGGGAUACCUAUGUCCCCCCCUUUUAUUUCCCUUUCAUCCAAUAAACCCUGCUUUACUUACCCUUUAAAUCAUCUGCGAGCCUUAAUUUUCAUGGCUGUGGGACAGACAAGAACCUUGUCUUUAGCUGAACUAAGAAAAAGUCCUGCAACAUCUUUCGGCGCGCAUUGUCGGGGCACCAGAAGCGAAAGAACACCCCCUCCCAAACAUGGAGAUCGUUAUACAGAAUGUCCAAGGCAAAUUAAGGAAAAUAAUUAUUGUAGCUGAUGAAGCAGAAACCCUAUUAGAGCUAAAUGCUACUUCACAGUACUCAGUGGUGGAGGUUCUGAAGGCACCGUUGAGCUGUUGCAACUGUUCUGCUGCUGCUCAAGGAGGCAGGAAGGGCUUCCUCAAAGGAAAGGAACACCCAUCUGUCUCGGUAGAUCACAGAACCACUUCUACCGUUUCCCAUGAGUGCCCUCAUCUCACUCUGCACGGAAUAAGUGAUAUGACUGACAACCGAGAAGCUCACCCAAUCCAUUUCCACAGACACUUCAAUUUGGACUACAGUAUAAUCAUAACCCAAAUCAGAUUGAACAGUUUCUUGUCUCUCAAAUAGUGAAUAUUCAGACACAAAAAUGAUCAAUUUAGCAUAUGCUCUUUGUCUGUCUUUGCCUUUGUUUGCAAACUUCUCCCAGGCAAAUGUGUUAACAAAAUUUGUAGCAAACGGUAUCUAGAUCAGGAGAUUAGAACUGUCUUUCUUUUAAAAAAUAGAUUCUUCAUCCCACGUUUUGUAUCAAGGCAUUAUGAAAAGCAACAAGCUUUGCAAUACAGAGCGAAUUAAAAUAAUUUAUUGUUGUUCUAAACUUCCUGCAAAUUAUCUGUGCAUGUUGUUUCCU
rnacentral:lncRNA from 1 species